ACUCCUACGGGAGGCAGCAGUGGGGAAUAUUGGACAAUGGGCGGAAGCCUGAUCCAGCAACGCCGCGUGAGGGAUGACGGCCUUCGGGUUGUAAACCUCUUUCAGCUCCGACGAAGUUGCUCCUUUUUGGGGGUGGUGACGGUAGGGGCAGAAGAAGGACCGGCCAACUACGUGCCAGCAGCCGCGGUAAUACGUAGGGUCCGAGCGUUGUCCGGAAUUAUUGGGCGUAAAGGGCUCGUAGGCGGUUUGUCGCGUCGGGAGUGAAAACACCGGGCUUAACUCGGUGCUUGCUUUCGAUACGGGCAGACUAGAGGUAUGCAGGGGAGAACGGAAUUCCUGGUGUAGCGGUGAAAUGCGCAGAUAUCAGGAGGAACACCGGUGGCGAAGGCGGUUCUCUGGGCAUUACCUGACGCCGGGGAGCGAAAGUGUGGGGAGCGAACAGGAUUAGAUACCCUGGUAGUCCACACCGUAAACGUUGGGCGCUAGGUGUGGGAUCCAUUCCACGGGUUCCGUGCCGUAGCUAACGCAUUAAGCGCCCCGCCUGGGGAGUACGGCCGCAAGGCUAAAACUCAAAGGAAUUGACGGGGGCCCGCACAAGCGGCGGAGCAUGC
rnacentral:rRNA from 1 species